UACGUAGGGUCCGAGCGUUAAUCGGAAUUACUGGGCGUAAAGCGUGCGCAGGCGGUUUUGUAAGCCAGAUGUGAAAUCCCCGGGCUCAACCUGGGAACUGCAUUUGGGACUGCAAGGCUGGAGUACGGCAGAGGGAGGUGGAAUUCCACGUGUAGCAGUGAAAUGCGUAGAGGUGUGGAGGAACACCGAUGGCGAAGGCAGCCUCCUGGGCUAGUACUGACGCUCAUGCACGAAAGCGUGGGGAGCAAACAGG
rnacentral:rRNA from 1 species